rnacentral:rRNA from 1 species
GUAGGAGGCAAGCGUUAUCCGGAUUUAUUGGGCAUAAAGAGGGCGUAGGCGGCCUUUUAAGUCGGAUGUGAAAUCUCCCGGCUCAACUGGGAGGGACCAUUCGAUACUGUUGGGCUUGAGGGCAGCAGAGGGAGAUGGAAUUCCCGGUGUAGUGGUGAAAUGCGUAGAUAUCGGGAGGAACACCAGUGGCGAAGGCGAUCUCCUGGGCUGUUCCUGACACUGAGGCGCGAAAGCGUGGGGAGCGAACAGGAUUAGAUACCCCGGUAGUCCUAGCCGUAAACGAUGGGCACUAGAUGUUUCCCGCUUCUAGCGGGGGUGUCGAAGCUAACGCAUUAAGUGCCCCGCCUGGGGAGCACGGUCGCAAGGCUG